GCUAACUCCGUGCCAGCGGGCGCGGGAAUACGGAGGGGGCAAGCGGUAAUCGGAAUUACUGGGCGUAAAGCGCACGCAGGCGGUCAAUUAAGUCAGAUGUGAAAGCCCCGAGCUUAACUUGGGAAUUGCAUCUGAAACUGGUUGGCUAGAGUCUUGUAGAGGGGGGUAGAAUUCCGCGUGUAGCGGUGAAAUGCGUAGAGAUGUGGAGGAAUACCGGUGGCGAAGGCGGCCCCCUGGACAAAGACUGACGCUCAGGUGCGAAAGCGUGGGGAGCAAACAGGAUUAGAUACCCGGGUAGUC
rnacentral:rRNA from 1 species